rnacentral:rRNA from 1 species
AGAACGAACGCUGGCGGCAUGCCUAAUACAUGCAAGUCGAACGAACACUUCGGUGUUAGUGGCGCACGGGUGCGUAACGCGUGGGAAUCUGCCCUUGGGUUCGGAAUAACAGUUGGAAACGACUGCUAAUACCGGAUGAUAUCGAAAGAUCAAAGAUUUAUCGCCCAGGGAUGAGCCCGCGUAGGAUUAGCUAGUUGGUGAGGUAAAGGCUCACCAAGGCGACGAUCCUUAGCUGGUCUGAGAGGAUGAUCAGCCACACUGGGACUGAGACACGGCCCAGACU